rnacentral:rRNA from 1 species
GACGAACCGUCCAAACGUUAUUCGGAAUCACUGGGCUUAAAGGGUGCGUAGGCGGGCGCGGCAAGUUGGGUGUGAAAUACCUCGGCUCAACCGAGGAACUGCGCCCAAAAACUGCCGUGCUCGAGGAAGAUAGAGGUGAGCGGAACUUAGGGUGGAGCGGUGAAAUGCGUUGAUAUCCUAAGGAACACCGGUGGCGAAAGCGGCUCACUGGGAUCUUUUCUGACGCUGAGGCACGAAAGCUAGGGUAGCGAACGGG